rnacentral:rRNA from 1 species
GACGAACGCUGGCGGCGGGCUUAACACAUGCAAGUCGAACGGAAAGGCCCUGCUUUUGUGGGGUGCUCGAGUGGCGAACGGGUGAGUAACACGUGAGUAACCUGCCCUUGACUUUGGGAUAACUUCAGGAAACUGGGGCUAAUACCGGAGAGGAGCUCCUGCUGCAUGGUGGGGGUUGGAAAGUUUCGGCGGUUGGGGAUGGACUCGCGGCUUAUCAGCUUGGUGGUGGGGUAGUGGCUUACCCAGGCUUUGACGGGUAGCCGGCCUGGGAGGGUGGCCGGAGCAGUGAGGCCUGGGGUACGACGCAGCCCAGACUGGUAGGCAACGGUGGAGAGGGGUACCCAAGGGGAGGGGGGAUGACGUGACAGCGCCGCGUGGGGGAAGCCGGGAUGGCGGUAGUGAAGUGCAGCUGUUUGAGACGGGGCGUUAGUGACGGUACCCGGAGAAGAAGCACCGGCUAACUCCGUG